UACGGAGGAUCCGAGCGUUAUCCGGAUUUAUUGGGUUUAAAGGGUGCGCAGGCGGGAGAUUAAGUCGGCGGUGAAAUUUUGCAGCUCAACUGUAAAAGUGCCUUCGAAACUGGUUUCCUUGAGUGUAGAUGAAGUAGGCGGAAUUUGUGGUGUAGCGGUGAAAUGCUUAGAUAUCACGAGGAACUCCGAUUGCGCAGGCAGCUUACUAAACUACUACUGACGCUCAGGCACGAAGGCGUGGGGAUCAAACAGGAUUAGAUACCCGCGUAGUU
rnacentral:rRNA from 1 species